rnacentral:rRNA from 1 species
CUACGGGCGGCAGCAGUGGGGAAUAUUGCACAAUGGGCGAAAGCCUGAUGCAGCAACGCCGCGUGAGGGACGACGGCCUUCGGGUUGUAAACCUCUUUUAGCAGGGAAGAAGCGAAAGUGACGGUACCUGCAGAAAAAGCACCGGCUAACUACGUGCCAGCAGCCGCGGUAAUACGUAGGGUGCAAGCGUUAUCCGGAAUUAUUGGGCGUAAAGAGCUCGUAGGCGGUUUGUCGCGUCUGCUGUGAAAAUCCGAGGCUCAACCUCGGACCUGCAGUGGGUACGGGCAAACUAGAGUGCGGUAGGGGAGAUUGGAAUUCCUGGUGUAGCGGUGGAAUGCGCAGAUAUCAGGAGGAACACCAAUGGCGAAGGCAGAUCUCUGGGCCGUAACUGACGCUGAGAAGCGAAAGCGUGGGGAGCGAACAGGAUUAGAUACCCCGGUAGUC